rnacentral:lncRNA from 1 species
AUUGUGUGUGUGGGAUGUGUACAUAUUGUGUGUGUGUGGGUGUGUAUAUAUUUAUUGUGUGUGUGUGGAUGUGACAUUUUGUGUGUGUGUUUGUGUAUAUAUACAUAUUUAUUGUGUGUGGAUGUGUUUGUGUGGAUUUUACAUAUUUUGUGUGUGUGUGUGUGGAUGUGUACAUAUUGUGUGUGUGUGGAUGUGACAUAUUUAUUGUAUGUGUGUGUGGAUGUGACAUAUUUAUUGUGUGUAUGUGUGGAUGUGACAUAUUUAGUGUGUGUGUGUGGAUGUGACAUAUUUAGUGUGUGUGUAUGUGUGUGUAUGUGACAUAUUUAUUGUGUGUGUAUGUGUGUGUGUUUGUGUGUGGAUAUGUACAUAUUGUGUGUGGAUGUGUGUGUUUGGAUUUGAAUAUUGUGUUUGUGUGUGGAUGUGACAUAUUUAUUAUGUGUGUGUGUAUAUGAAAUUUAUUGUGUGUAUGUGGAUGUGUACAUAUUUAUUUUUCGUGUGUGUGGGUGUGUACAUAUUUAUUGUGUGUAUGUGUGUGGAUGGGACAUAUUUAGUGUGUGUUUGUAUGGAUAUGUACAUAUUUAUUGUGUUUGUGUGUGGAUAUGUACAUAUUUAUUGCGUGUGGAUUUUACAUAUUUACUGUGUUUGUGUGUGGAUGUGACAUAUGUCAGAAUCAGAAUGACUUGUAGGAGCUGAGUCUUCUUCCACCAGGUGGGUCUUGGGGAUUGAACUCAGGUCCUCAGUCUUGAUAGCAAAUGCCUUUGCCAAACUCUGAGCCAGAGGAACUUGUAGACUUGUUUGUCUUUUUUUUUGAAAUAGGAUCUCUCCUUGUAGACCAGGCUGACUUCCAACUCAUAGAGAUUUCUUCCUGCCUCUGCCUACAAUAGACUUGUUUUAAUUAAUGACAACCUAAUGAGUAGGUCACACAUGAUGACACCAAAAUUCAUCCUGUUGGUUGAAUAAAAUGCUUUCAUGAGAAGCUAGUAUAAGCCGGGCAGUAGUGGCGCA